rnacentral:snRNA from 1 species
CCUGUGACGUAUGUGUCUGGGU